CUCAAUCUUGGGCAGAGCUAGAUGCAGUCCCUGCAGUGAUCCCCCAGGGGCAUGUGGCCCAGAGUAGCAGCUCCCAGAAUGACCAUGAAGGCUUCUGGGAGAAAGGGGAUGUGAGUCCUGCAUGUGAGAAGUGAGCCCAUGCUGUGGGGAUGGUCAUAGCUGAGUGAUUCCGCAACCUUUGUGUACUGGGAAUGGAUCACUGCAAUGGGCUUCCCUUGUUCCAGGACAGGCGAGACUCAACUCGAGAGGAGUCUCCCUCUUUCUUUACCUGAGAAAGAUGAGGCAAGAUACAGACAUGUGAAUCUCCAUUUUGUCUCAUAAGCAAUUAGCUGAACUGUGUCCGUGUGGCUCCAUCCAGAGAAAUGCCUGCUGCUUUGCCAGACACGAGUUCAAGUUUCCUACCUCUCCACAGACCUCUGGGAGAAGGAGCACUGGGGGCACAGCUCCAUCCUGGCCAUCUCCAGGGCCCAUGGCCACAGCUCUCAUGCUUCGCUAUCCCUGUGGCCAUCAUACUUCUGCUCCUCUCUAGCAGUUAACUCCUCCCUUUGGAUGAAAAUUCCUUUUCCCAAGGUGUACUGGCCCCAACUUUACCAAGCCAGCCUCAUCCUCCUUCAAGACACAGCAAGAUUUGCAGGGGUGCUCAGCUGCUGGCCUCAGCUUCCUGUCCAGACACCAUGGAGUGACACCCAGAGAUCCCCUAGACCUGCAUCCUGAGACUUCAGGAGAAACAGGGCCUUGUGGACCAAUUUGUGCUGAGUAUUCCCUGACCCCCGAGCAGGAGCAGUAAUCUCAGAGGAACUUGAUUUUCACCUGUGGCCACAAGGACCUCUCACCUCGAAGAAAUAGUCCAGGGAAAACCAC
rnacentral:lncRNA from 1 species